rnacentral:rRNA from 1 species
GAGUUUGAUCAUGGCUCAGGACGAACGCUGGCGGCGUGCUUAACACAUGCAAGUCGAGCGAAGGAAUACUUAGGAAGCCUUCGGGAAGAAUACGUAUUCCUUAGCGGCGGACGGGUGAGUAACGCGUGAGGAAUCUGCCUCGCACAAGGGGAUAGCCUCGGGAAACCGGGAUUAAUACCCUAUGAUACUUACACUGCGCAUGCAGAGUAAGUUAAAGAAUAUCGGUGUGGGAUGACCUCGCGUCCCAUUAGCUGGUUGGCAGGGUAAAAGCCUACCAAGGCGACGAUGGGUAGCCGGCCUGAGAGGGUGAACGGCCACAUUGGAACUGAGACACGGUCCAGACUCCUACGGGAGGCAGCAGUGGGGAAUAUUGCACAAUGGAGGGAACUCUGAUGCAGCAACGCCGCGUGAGCGAAGAAGGUUUUAGGAUCGUAAAGCUCUGUCCUAGGGGAAGAUAAUGACGGUACCCGAGGAGGAAGCCCCGGCUAACUACGUGCCAGCAGCCGCGGUAAUAC